rnacentral:lncRNA from 1 species
GGGGUUUUUGAUUUCUUUUUUUCUUAGUGAUUUUUUAAAUCACUAAUUAUUUUCAAUUAAAAUAAUCACUAAUUCAAUUAAAAAUAAUCACUACUUUUUUAAAUCACUAAUUAUUUACUUAGGGAGUUUUUUGGGAAUAUUUUGGAAAUUUUUUGAAGUAUUUUUUUGGGAGUAUUUUGCAUAAUUUUUUUUAAGCUUUUUGGGGAUUUUUUAAAUUGUUUGGGGAGAUUUCUUGAGAAUUUCUUAAGGCUGGAACAGCCAAACCUUUCCUUGGAAAUUCGAGGCCUGGAACAGCCCAAAAAACCACAAUCUUCUGGGAAUUCCAAGUCCCAAAGAAGGAUUCUCCCCAAAAUUUCCUUUUUUUUUUUUUUUUCUGGCCGCAGCUCGGAGCGAGGACGAGGAGGGCCGGGAUUCCCGGUGCUCCCGGAAUUCCGGCGGGAAGGAUCCCAAACGUUCCAAGCGGCCCCGAACCAUCCUGAGCUCCCAACAGCGCCGGGCAUUCAAAGCCUCCUUUGAGGUCUCCUCCAAACCCUGCCGGAAGGUGCGGGAGACGCUGGCGGCCGAGACGGGGCUGACGGUCCGGGUGGUCCAGGUGUGGUUUCAGAACCAACGAGCCAAGAUGAAGAAGAUUGCCCGCAGGCAGCAGCAGCAGGAGCAGCUCGGGAAUUCCAGAGGGGGAAUUCCAGGCGGGAGAGGACCCGGGAGGAGCGGCCGGGAUGGGAAUGAGGAUGAGGAGGGCCUGCAGCGGAUCCUGGUCCCGUUUUCCCGGAUUCCGCCGCCGUCCCUGGAGCCCAACGGAUUCGGGAGCGAGGCCGGAAUGUUCCGGGGAACCCCCCCGGAGCUCCGGCCCUACGACUCUGAGGGAGUUUUCCAGGAGCUGGACGGAGACACCCUGGGAUCCUUGGGAGCGGCCCUGAUCUCCACAGAGAAUUCCCAGCAGCUGAUCCUCGGGAAUGCUGGAAUUCCUGAAAUCCCCGAGCCCAGGGAUGCCCUGGAGCGCCUGUACCCCGGGAAUGCCAGAAUUCCCGAAAUGCCCGAGCCUGGGAAUCCCAUGGAGCGCCUGUACUCCAUGCAGAGCUCCUACUUCACCUCCUGACAGCCUGGAAUUCCCGAAAAUCCCAGUCCUGGGAAUCCCAAAAAAACUGGGAUCGACCCCCAACCCCCAGCAUUCCGCUGGAAUUUGGGAUCUUCCCUCUACUCCCGUGCCAAUUUUGGGGAAUUUUUGGGGGAGAAAUUUUUGGGAAUGCUUCUUUUUUUUUUUGUUUGUUUGUUUGUUUGUUUUUUGUUGUUGUUUUUUUGGGGUUUUUUUGUAUGUCUGGUAGGAAAUAAAUCCCAGGAAAAAAAAAGGAAAAAAAAAGAC